rnacentral:rRNA from 1 species
CGCGUAGACGGUUUUGUAAGUCAGAUGUGAAAUCCCUGGGCUCAACCUGGGAACUGCAUUUGAAACUGCAUGGCUAGAGUAUGGUAGAGGGAAGUGGAAUUUCCGGUGUAGCGAUGAAAUGCGUAGAUAUCGGAAGGAACACCAGUGGCGAAAGCGACUUCCUGGACCAAUACUGACGUUCAUGUGCGAAAGCGUGGGGAGCAAACAGGAUUAGAUACCCUGGUAGUCCACGCCAUAAACGAUGACAACUAGAUGUUGGGAGGGUCUGCCUCUCGGUAUCGCAGCUAACGCGUUAAGUUGUCCGCCUGGGGAGUACGGCCGCAAGGUUGAA